AAUUUAUUUGUGUACUGCCAUUUUUGUGUAAGCUAUUUUCGUUAGUGGCAAUUGAUUUAAAUAUUAAUGUAGAUUAUUAUUUAUAAGGAAGUUAUUUGACGUAGACGAAUACGCGUAUAGUGAUUUAAGGCGGAUAUAACUUGUUAUUUGAUUACUUUAAACUCGAUUGUAACUUGUGUUUCGAAAGUAAAAUAUUAAAAAAUCCAUAUCUUGAUGUAGCAAGUUUCCAUUGCAUACACUCUCUCCAAUUAGCAUACAUUGGUCAAACAUUAUGGUUGGCACUACGCCCAUUUCACUUUUCACAUUUGGAUGUCUUGAUAUUUCGAUGUCGCCGCGAACCAACACAUUUUUCACAUAUUUAACACACAAGAAAAAAUCUCGGCUCCUGCCAUCCAUCGAUACAAUAAUCAACACCAUUACCCUACCGACAUUCCCUAUUGGAAGUUCUACUGUCACAGAUAACAAGCAUGAGCAUCCCUUAAUCGCCUACAUACAUGGGCGUUGUAAAGCCUGUUCUGAUUUUUCGUUGAAACUUGUAGUUAUUGAUAUUCUCACCAAUUCAUUUACAAUAAAAUUAAAUAGUAUUAACUAAAA